UGCCCCAUAGUUCAGUUGGUAGAAUAAUUGACUGUUAAUCAAGAGGUCGCUGGUUCGAGUCCAGCUGGGGCAG
rfam:Lactobacillus oligofermentans DSM 15707 = LMG 22743 strain DSM 15707 NODE_5, whole genome shotgun sequence.